GUUUAUAUAAUUUAUAAAGAAUAUUGCAUUGAAGCUGCAAAGGAGACAGCUAUGUCUAUAAACA
rnacentral:tRNA from 1 species